rnacentral:rRNA from 1 species
CACGUAGGGUGCGAGCGUUGUCCGGAAUUAUUGGGCGUAAAGAGCUCGUAGGCGGUUUGUCGCGUCUGCUGUGAAAACUCGGGGCUUAACUCCGGGCCUGCAGUGGGUACGGGCAGACUAGAGUGCGGUAGGGGAGACUGGAAUUCCUGGUGUAGCGGUGAAAUGCGCAGAUAUCAGGAGGAACACCAAUUGCGAAGGCAGCUCGCUGGGACGUUACUGACGCUGAGACGCGAAAGCGUGGGGAGCAAACAGG